CUGUAUGUAACUUACUCUGCAUAGAGGACUUACUGACAAAAUUAUUUUUUGUACAUUCCAGAGUCCCCUGAAUGAUGUAGGCUAUGGGGCCACAUAAGACUUUGUCCAUCCAGGGUUACAUUGAACGACAACUUUAAACUAAAAAACCAACAUUUUUCACACAACUCCAGGUUGUUACUAACAAAUUACUACAAGUGUCAUCAAGGGAUAACUACAAGUAGAAGCACCAUUUUUGGAUGGAAAAAACCCUUCAGGAAAGUAUACGUAUCACAUGUAACAUGUAGUGUAACAAAGUAUGAACAGUAGGUUUUUACAUACAGUAGUAUUACAUACGUACAUAACUUUUUUUUACAGGAAUUUCCAACCAAGUUUGAUUAUGUACAUACAUGUUAUAAACCACUGUACGUAUGGUUACUGUAUGUAACUUACUAAACAUACAUACAUGACUUAACUUUGAUACUUUUUUGGUACAUUCCAGAAAACCAGGACCCCCUCCAUGAUGCAGGCUAUGGGGCCACAUAAAACUUUGUCCAGGGUUACUACAUAACAUAGCACGACAACUGUAAACUAUGUACUACUGUACUAAAGAACCCCCUGAAUGAUGUAGGCUAUGGGGC